rnacentral:rRNA from 1 species
UAAUACAGAGGUCCCAAGCGUUGUUCGGAUUCACUGGGCGUAAAGGGUGCGCAGGUGGUCGGGUAAGUCUGAUGUGAAAUCCCGCAGCUUAACUGCGGAAUGGCAUUGGAUACUAUUCGGCUAGAGGGUUGGAGGGGGGACUGGAAUUCUCGGUGUAGCAGUGAAAUGCGUAGAUAUCGAGAGGAACACCAGUGGCGAAGGCGAGUCCCUGGACAACUCCUGACGCUGAGGCACGAAAGCUAGGGGAGCAAACAGGA